rnacentral:rRNA from 1 species
UACGAAGGGUGCAAGCGUUACUCGGAAUUACUGGGCGUAAAGCGUGCUGUAGGUGGUUUGUUAAGUCUGUUGUGAAAGCCCCGGGCUCAACCUGGGAAUGGCAAUGGAUACUGGCAAGCUAGAGUGCGGUAGAGGGUAGUGGAAUUCCCGGGUGUAGCGGUGAAAUGCGUAGAGAUCGGGAGGAACACCAGUGGCGAAGGCGGCUACCUGGACAGCACUGACACUGAGGCACGAAAGCGUGGGGAGCAAACAGGG